AAUCAUGCUCAAAACAUUCGACAUAACUUAAUUUCUUUGUGGAAUGAUUGAGCUUGAUGGA
rnacentral:pre_miRNA from 1 species